GUGCCAGCAGCCGCGGUAAUACGUAGGUGGCAAGCGUUAUCCGGAAUUAUUGGGCGUAAAGCGCGCGUAGACAGUUUUUUAAGUCUGAUGUGAAAGCCCACGGCUCAACCGUGGAGGGUCAUUGGAAACUGGAAAACUUGAGUGCAGAAGAGGAAAGUGGAAUUCCAUGUGUAGCGGUGAAAUGCGCAGAGAUAUGGAGGAACACCAGUGGCGAAGGCGACUUUCUGGUCUGUAACUGACGCUGAUGUGCGAAAGCGUGGGGAUCAAACAGGAUUA
rnacentral:rRNA from 1 species